GAAAUGCGAUAAGUAGUGUGAAUUGCAGAAUUCAGUGAAUCAUCGAAUCUUUGAACGCACAUUGCGCCCUUUGGUAUUCCAAAGGGCAUGCCUGUUCGAGCGUCAUUUGUACCCUCAAGCUUUGCUUGGUGUUGGGCGUCUUGUCUCCAGUUCGCUGGAGACUCGCCUUAAAGUAAUUGGCAGCCGGCCUACUGGUUUCGGAGCGCAGCACAAGUCGCGCUCUCUUCCAGCCAAGGUCAGCAUCCACAAAGCCUUUUUUCAACUUUUGACCUCGGAUCAGGUAGGGAUACCCGCUGAACUUAAGC
rnacentral:misc_RNA from 1 species